AAACAGCUCACCGGGCUUAAUGAAGUAGCACUCGCUUGAUCACCUCACCAACUGCAGCUCUUCUCCUUUUCCUUCCUUAUGGAUGCUCCAGCUUCACUCUUCUUCGUGUGUGCCCCAUUGCUUCUCCUCAUCGCCAUGCUCUGACUCCACCAGGAUCCCAAGGAAUGUCACCUCAAACCUGGUCAGCAUGUAGUAAACAGUGCAGUAGCAAAAGCCUGAAAUAGGACUCACACAAACAACUAUAAGUGAUACGGUCGAUGCCCUCCAAGUCAUCAAUGGUAUAUCCAAUUAUAUAAGCAUAACUAUAAAGCACAUGUUUAGGAUGGCAGAAAUCAGCAUGGUCAAUACUCACACGAGGAUGACAUUUAUCAUUAAGCUCAAGACUAGCAUGGAAAUGAUGUGUUUCAUUAAGCAUAGGACUAGCACGAGGAAAGUAACUAUGAUCAUCGCAAAUGAGAGUAAUGCCACUAACAGGGUAUAUAUCAUCAUAUCCAAGCAAAUGAGUUUUCAAAUCAAUCUUAAGUGAUGGUAUCAUGUAAUGCAAGGUGGUAGCAAAGAAAUCACAAGGCAUCAUGUCAUCAAGAGGAUUGAGUAAACCUGACACAUCACGCUCUGGUAUGACAAUAGGCAAAUGAAUCUCAUGUUCUUCAUCUUCAUCUACAGCAGCUUCUUGUACUUCUUCAGGAGUAAUAGAUGAUGAGUCUUCAACUUGAUCACUUGGGAAUUGCAGCUCUUGACCAUCUUGUUCCUUGUCUUCUAGUUCAUCUUCUUCAAUCUGAGGUAUCUCUUGCUCAAGGCACUUGCUAUCUUGCUCAACGAAAUGUGAAGGUGCUGGAACCUCACAUGUAACCAUGGAUAUCUCAGCCACACUCAACUCAAGUUGUGAAGAAAUAGUGCUGCCAGCGUUGAUGUUCUUCUCAAUCUUCCUUACUUCUUCCACUAGCUCUUUUCCACUCUUGAUCUUCUUCAUUUCAUCUAGUAUAACCUUCCUAAUAGGAUCAUCCUCGGCACUCCAACUAAACUCGAGACUAAGCAAUGUGAUCUUUCUAUAUCAUCAAAUUCAUCUUGUGUGGGCACUUGCACAUGAGAUUGCUCGAAAGGUGCUGGAGUUGUUGGUUGACCAAAUGGAGGACCAUUUAACUCCAUUGGACACAUCUCCUGGUAUUGAGGUAUAUGAGUAGGAGGUGAAUAAAUCUAUUGUGGAGCAUAGUUGUGGUUCUCCUCAUUGUACCUGAAUCCCUGCAUUGGAUAACUAGAGGCAAACGAUGAGAUCUCAGGGUUAUUGCUCCUAUAUGACAUAUUCUGGUUUUUAGACCACCCAUGUGUGUAAUUGUUUUGGUAUGAGUUAGGCAGUGGGGCGAAGCUCAUGCCAUAACAAUCGGGAGGAUGGGAGUAACCACACUGACAUUCAGCGGGCGAAUGGCCCUGAAAUCCACAAAUAUGGCAGGUAGGAGCAACAUAAGGAUGGCCUCUGGAAUUAGGAUUGUAAGAACUAGGCCUAUCCUCAAAAACUCCUUCUUGCUGUCGAGCUAAAUCAUCUAAUCGAUGGGAAAUCUUACCUAUCAGUUCUUAAACACUUUCCGUGUUGUUUGUAGUGUUGCUCGCAUAAGCCUGAUGAUCUGAAUAGUAAGCCAUAACCGAGAGGAUAAUCCAACCUGCAAAAAGGAAAAGAAGACAAAAAGAUACUAACUAGAACAGGGGUUAGUGGCUAGAGAUAUAUCACAAAUAUAUAAAGCACAAAAAGGAAACAAGCUAAACCUAGUCUAAAGCCUAGCACAAUCGCUCGAUGCUAGUCCCCGGCAACGGUGCCAAAAUGAUCAGUUGAAAGUACAGUGGGGUUUUUACGCCCAAACUGCGAGUGUCGUGUUCUCCUCAGGGACUAGGCGACGACGACUAUGCUCGACUAAAGCUAGGUGACAGAAUACAAAUGAUGAUUGCAAGGAAAUAAACCUAAACUAAACAUGGUAGUUCCUAAAGAUCAUCGCCAAAGAAAAUGCAAAAUAAGCAAAGAGAUAUUCAGAUUUUCUAUACUCUCUUUUUGGCAAUUUCCAUAUUACUCAAAGAAUUUAAUGCUAACACAAGAAAACAUACGGCUAGGAAAUUAAAAAGACAAGAACAUAUAUAUAACUAUCUAACAUGAACAGUGGGAAGAAACAAGAACUUGAGCUAAUACAUGGACUACAAAACUGAAUAUAUUUCUGCAGAAAAGGGAAGACACUGUGACGACACAUACAUGAACUGGAAUUACGUAAAUUCAGUGCAAGUGACAAGCAUACAUGUACCACACGGUUGACAAAUAUAACAUUCACGAACUUAUUUUAUAUAGAUGCAUGAACUAGUCAGAUCCCAGCAAACAGCUGUUUACAUGUACUCUUCAAAUCUGAACCUUACAAGUCUUGAACAUCUCUCAAUACUAUAGAAUUUCAGAGAGAGAGAGAGAGAGAAGGCAACAGCAGGAGGUUGAGAGAGAAGAAGCAGUAGCAGGGGGCGUUGAGAGGAGGGAGAAGGAGCAGCGGGGCAAAGGAAGAUGGAGUAGCAGCAACGACUUGGAGUUUGGAGAUGGAGAAGGAGCAGAACAACAGCGUGGUAGGGGAAAGUAGAAGAGCAGCAGCAAUAGGGAUUCAGAGAGGAGGCGAGCUUGGAGAAGGAUAGCAGCAGGGAGAGUUGUAGAUGAGCAGCAGCAGUAGCGCGGGGGAGAAGGAGCAGCAGACAGGGAUUCAGAGAAGCGAGGAAGAAGGGAAGAAGAAGCAGCGGCGGUGUGUCUGGCCGGGCACGCCAGCUGGAGGGAGAGGUCGCGCGAGGUGGGCACUGGUGGUUGGCGCUGUGAUGGAUGGAUGAUGGUGUGGGUGGUGGAUGGCGCGGGUGAUGGUGGAGCAACGAGGUCGCCGAAGCGCGUCGCCACGAUGGCCUGGCCGCGGCGGCGGCCGGAGGUGGGAGAAGAAGUGGUGAGGGGGAGAGAGAUGGAGAUGCCAGCUCCCUUUGGGAAUGGAGGCUGCUAGGGAUUUUGAUCCCCUCCGAUCAGAUCUGAAUGUUUUCACUUUGGCCCUCCUCCUUCCUUCUUUUGGCACAAGAUGUUCCCUCCACUUCUUAAGCUAGCCCCCCUAAGCUUUAAUCUUCUUCAAGCUUGAGUCCCUCUUUCUUCUCUUCUUGCCCGUGAUCUUGUUCCUCAAUUCUUUCUAGACAGGAACUUGUAGAUUAUAGUGCCUUGUCGCACUUUUCUGCAAAAGAAACACAAUGACUAGUAAAUGAUUCAUUAUAUGAUUUCCAUGCAAAUAUUCAAUAUUUCACAUCAAGAAUUAAUGGUCAUAUCUCAAUAAACCGCAUAUUUGAGUGCCAAAAGAUGUAUAUGAAAUGUGCUUAUCAAGUUCCCCCACACUUAAAUCUUUGCUUGUCCUCAAGCAAAGGCAUAUGACAAAAGCAAGAACAUGAACAGUGAACUGACUAGAGAAUGUCAAGUGAAGUAGAUCUCUAAACAAUGCAUGCUUUGGACUUGGCUAGUGAAAAUUAAUGGUUAAGAGUGCUACAUAUCAAUAGGACACUAGUAAACUCGACCAUUUUAAACUUUUGCAAUGAUAAACGAAGAUUAGCAAGUUCAAAUGCUGAUUGUGCCAAAGGGUUCCUAAAGAGAGCAUGAUCCCAAAAAAAAACUUAUUACCCGGAACAUAACAUUAUGGUAGAAGCACUUAUUGAAUUUGAAGGAAGUAAUGGUAAUAUUUUAUUGAUCUCACCAAUGGAACAUACCACCGAUCCCAAGAACAUGGUAUACACCCGGCUUGGCCAAUUAUUAGUUUUUUUUAGUUUGUCUCCCCAAAGGAACAUACCACCGAUCCCGAGAACAUGGUGUACACCUGGUUCGACAAUUACAUUUCUAUAAUUAUUAAUUACUGCCCAAGCUAACCUGAUUUCACAUGCCACCGAUCCCGGGAACAUGACAUGCUACUGUAGGUAGCCAGACUUAUUUAUUCAUUAUUACUUAUCUUAAAUGAACAACACAUAAGAACAAAAACAGGAAUCAUCACUUCUCCAUGUCUGGUUCACAUGCUACCGAUCCAGGGAACAUAGCAUGCUAAUCCAUAGUGGUUAGGUGAUUGCUCUCAAUGGGAAGACACUUGGCACAAAUUCAGCAUCUAAACAUGGUGAUCUAGGUGUAUCAUAGUAAAUGCAGAAAAUGACGAAGUUUUCUAGUGUACUAGGGAUUUGAGCACUCAAAACUAGUAGUUCUCACUAAUUUUAGCAAAGCAUGCAUGGUGUAGAUCACUAGUUUACAAGGCAUCCAAAAAUCAAGUUCACAAAUUCACAUCAAGCACAAUGCCAAAGGUGAGAUUCAGCUUGACAACAAGUAAUAACUGGCUCAAGCAACCCAACUAGCAAUUGAAUUCAGCAUGUAUUUAUGAUAUUCAGAAUGGGUCAUGAAACAGCUCACCGGGCUUAAUGAAGUAGCACUCGCUUGAUCACCUCACCAACUGCAGCUCUUCUCCUUUUCCUUCCUUAUGGAUGCUCCAGCUUCACUCUUCUUCGUGUGUGCCCCAUUGCUUCUCCUCAUCGCCAUGCUCUGACUCCACCAGGAUCCCAAGGAAUGUCACCUCAAACCUGGUCAGCAUGUAGUAAACAGUGCAGUAGCAAAAGCCUGAAAUAGGACUCACACAAACAACUAUAAGUGAUACGGUCGAUGCCCUCCAAGUCAUCAAUGGUAUAUCCAAUUAUAUAAGCAUAACUAUAAAGCACAUGUUUAGGAUGGCAGAAAUCAGCAUGGUCAAUACUCACACGAGGAUGACAUUUAUCAUUAAGCUCAAGACUAGCAUGGAAAUGAUGUGUUUCAUUAAGCAUAGGACUAGCACGAGGAAAGUAACUAUGAUCAUCGCAAAUGAGAGUAAUGCCACUAACAGGGUAUAUAUCAUCAUAUCCAAGCAAAUGAGUUUUCAAAUCAAUCUUAAGUGAUGGUAUCAUGUAAUGCAAGGUGGUAGCAAAGAAAUCACAAGGCAUCAUGUCAUCAAGAGGAUUGAGUAAACCUGACACAUCACGCUCUGGUAUGACAAUAGGCAAAUGAAUCUCAUGUUCUUCAUCUUCAUCUACAGCAGCUUCUUGUACUUCUUCAGGAGUAAUAGAUGAUGAGUCUUCAACUUGAUCACUUGGGAAUUGCAGCUCUUGACCAUCUUGUUCCUUGUCUUCUAGUUCAUCUUCUUCAAUCUGAGGUAUCUCUUGCUCAAGGCACUUGCUAUCUUGCUCAACGAAAUGUGAAGGUGCUGGAACCUCACAUGUAACCAUGGAUAUCUCAGCCACACUCAACUCAAGUUGUGAAGAAAUAGUGCUGCCAGCGUUGAUGUUCUUCUCAAUCUUCCUUACUUCUUCCACUAGCUCUUUUCCACUCUUGAUCUUCUUCAUUUCAUCUAGUAUAACCUUCCUAAUAGGAUCAUCCUCGGCACUCCAACUAAACUCGAGACUAAGCAAUGUGAUCUUUCUAUAUCAUCAAAUUCAUCUUGUGUGGGCACUUGCACAUGAGAUUGCUCGAAAGGUGCUGGAGUUGUUGGUUGACCAAAUGGAGGACCAUUUAACUCCAUUGGACACAUCUCCUGGUAUUGAGGUAUAUGAGUAGGAGGUGAAUAAAUCUAUUGUGGAGCAUAGUUGUGGUUCUCCUCAUUGUACCUGAAUCCCUGCAUUGGAUAACUAGAGGCAAACGAUGAGAUCUCAGGGUUAUUGCUCCUAUAUGACAUAUUCUGGUUUUUAGGCCACCCAUGUGUGUAAUUGUUUUGGUAUGAGUUAGGCAGUGGGGCGAAGCUCAUGCCAUAACAAUCGGGAGGAUGGGAGUAACCACACUGACAUUCAGCGGGCGAAUGGCCCUGAAAUCCACAAAUAUGGCAGGUAGGAGCAACAUAAGGAUGGCCUCUGGAAUUAGGAUCGUAAGAACUAGGCCUAUCCUCAAAAACUCCUUCUCGCUGUCGAGCUAAAUCAUCUAAUCGAUGGGAAAUCUUACCUAUCAGUUCUUAAACACUUUCCGUGUUGUUUGUAGUGUUGCUCGCAUAAGCCUGAUGAUCUGAAUAGUAAGCCAUAACCGAGAGGAUAAUCCAACCUGCAAAAAGGAAAAGAAGACAAAAAGAUACUAACUAGAACAGGGGUUAGUGGCUAGAGAUAUAUCACAAAUAUAUAAAGCACAAAAAGGAAACAAGCUAAACCUAGUCUAAAGCCUAGCACAAUCGCU
rnacentral:lncRNA from 1 species